rnacentral:misc_RNA from 1 species
AACCACUCACGCCUAGCGUGGUAUUGGGGCACGCGGUCUCCGCGGCCCUCAAAAUGAGUGGCGGCGCCGGUGGGCUCUAAGCGUAGUACAUACUCCCGCUAUAGAGUUCCCCCGGUGGCUCGCCAGAACCCCCAAUUUUUACA